rnacentral:rRNA from 1 species
GCUGAAUUUAAGCAUAUAAGUAAGCGGAGGACAAGAAACUAAACAGGAUCCCCAUAGUAAUGGCGAAUGAACCGGGAUAAACUCAGCAUGGAAAUUGGGGCCUUUGGCUUUGACUUGUAAUCUGGUGAGGCAUUGCCAACAGAGGCGCAUAUGUAAGUCUCUUGGAAAAGAGCAUCAACGAAGGUGAGAGUCCUGAUUGUCAUGUGCAGCCCCCCUGUGCACGGUGUGCCUUCUAAGAGUCACGUUCCUUGGGAUUGGAGCGCAAAUUGGGUGGUAACUUUCAUCUGAAGUUAAACAAGGGUUUGGGACCGAUAGGAAACAAGUACCAUGAGGGAAAGGUGAAAAGGACUUUGGAAAGAGAGUUAAAAGUGCCUGAAAUUGCUGAAGGGGAAGCGAAUGGAACCAGUAGUGCUGGGUGAGAUUGUCACAUGCUACAAGGAUUGGUUGCUGCCACAACGCAAGUGUGAUGGCAAUUUGUGAAUUGCUAGUGUGUGGUGUGUCUUACCUAGUGGGUCAUUGUGGGUUUAUGCAUUAAGACAAGUCAAAGCAAGCGGGAGCAAGUUUACGAGUUUGUGAAUGUGUGUUGUUAUGCUUGUGCGUAAGCUUUAAGGUUUGUCUGGCUGCAGGGCUGUCCAUCCUCGAGCUGAGGGUUGCGAUGAGCAUAACCUUCUGCGCAGAUCUUGACGAAAUGGUUUCAUUCGACCCGUCUUGAAACACGGACCAAGG